AUGAGGGAGGGAAUUUGCUGCCCACUGUGAGCUUAAACCUGCAGCUUGUCCUUCUGGCUGCAUUUGGACAAAUUCAGACAAAAAGUUUAUGUCAGGAGAAGAUGGAUCAGAAAAGAGCAAUGGGAUUUUACGCAGGCUGUGGCUUUCAAAAUCAGAGUCCUUCUUGUUUGUUGGUGGGAAUGCUUAGCAGCCUGCUACGAUAUGGCCACAGAGCUGUGCAAGGGGUGAGAUAUCUAACAGGUCAGCAAAUCUGGUCAAGUAAUGGAAGUUACCGUCUGCCUAGCAAAAGCUCAUCCCUGGCCAUGGGACUUCAGACCAUUCCUCUGUUUUGAGCAAGGUUUUCACUUAGGAAAGACGAUAAAUUGCUGUGCCCUGGUGGAGAUUAAAAGCCGAUUGAUGAGUCCAUCCCAUGAGCAUGCUUCUGACCAAAGCUGGACCAGCUGAGGAAGAAC